CCCACUGGUUGCUCUCUAGCAUUAGCUGUACUUGAAAUAAAGAUAGUUGUUGGAUUUUAUGGUGACAGCACAGGAGCUGAGCUCUUUAGAAUUACAGAGCAAGUUACAACAGUCACCAAGAUUGCUAAGUAUUCUGCCAACAGUAGAAUACAAGAAUUGUUAGGGCGCUUAUAAGUCUUGCACCUGUUUAAAGAAGUUACCCUGUCAGCUAUACCAGGGUAGUAAUCACCUGCAGGCUGUGCUGCUCUGGAAGGGAGGAAGAAUUUUUAGCUGCAGGUUGUCCUGCAAAAUACAUAGGAGGCAGCAGGUUGUUUUAAACUGGUUUCUCUACCAGGAAGGAGACAUGGAGCUGCACCUUUCAGAAUUAAUUGCCAGUAUGGUCUAAUCCUGUGUAUUAGUCGUCACAUUACAGGCAUUUAUUUGAAUUAUUUCAUCAAUUGUGAUCCUGUGUAUGUCAUCAGUGUUUUUGGAAAUGUAGCUCCUUUUUGUAUAGGAGGAAAAAAAAAAAAUCAAAGCUUUGUUAUGGUUCUUUCAGGCUGAAUUGUGGGGAGAAUUAGUCUCCUUAUAGGUUAUAUGUUCAUCAGGAAAAUUCUGUGGGAAAUCAAGUAACAACAAUGUUUAGCUUACAGUCAUUUCAAAUAUGAAAGAAAUAAAAUUUUUCAUACAUUGCAGUUGAGAAAGUGCAUUAGGCAAAUAGGAGCCUAGGGUAACCCUAAAUUUGGGGUAAACACUGCAAAGAGCAUGGGCUUAUUUUCUCUACUGGGUUGAUUUGGGAGCACUAUCUGCUUAUUUAUGGACUCUCUUUCAGUGCAGAGCUAAAUCAGAAUGGAAAGCUAAAAAGUUCCAAAAUAGAAUGUGUGAAAUCCCACCUGCAGGCUAAAUUCUUUUAGAAAACAAUUAUUCUAGAGAAACAUUUUCUGUUUCAAUUUUAAAUCUUUCAU